CUGGCGGCGUGCUAACACAUGCAAGUCGAAACGCGAAAGGGGACUUCGGUCCUGAGUAAAGUGGCGCACGGGUGAGUAACGCGUAGAUAACCUGUCUUCAUGUCUGGAAUAAUACGCCGAAAGGGGUACUAAUACCGGAUAUUCUUGCUUUUCAUAAGUUAUGCAAGCAAAGGUGGCCUCUGCAUAUGCUACUGCAUGAAGAGGGGUCUGCGUACCAUUAGCUAGUAGGUGGGGUAAUGGCCUACCUAGGCGACGAUGGUUAGCGGGUCUGAGAGGAUGAUCCGCCACACUGGCACUGGAACACGGGCCAGACUCCUACGGGAGGCAGCAGUGAGGAAUAUUGCGCAAUGGGGGAAACCCUGACGCAGCGACGCCGCGUGAGUGAGGAAGGCCUUCGGGUCGUAAAGCUCUGUCAAGAGGAAAGAAGUGUACAAUGGCUAAUACCUGUUGUAUUUGACGGUACCUCUAAAGGAAGCACCGGCUAACUCCGUGCCAGCAGCCGC
rnacentral:rRNA from 1 species